AGAAAAGUGUGGGAAAUUCAAGGAAACAAGUGACAAAAGUGGAGGUUUUGUGGAUCAGCCUAAAAGAAGGGGCACAGAAUCAGAUAUACCUUAGCUCAAUUAGAGAGUCGUGUGUAGGGUUUCUCUAGAGGUAAAGAUUUGAGUGCACUUCACGUGGACCAUCGCGUGAGAGUGAGACUUAGCCAACGCAAAGGCAUGGCUAGAAUUUUGGAUGUAAAGACAUUCAACAGCCUUGGUGGUCUCAGUCAGAUGCCUAGGCCAAGGCAUCCCUGGGAAUGAUUUUGGCAGAAGCCAAGUUUUGUGAAUUACAUAAGCCAAGUUGAUUAUUUGAGUAAAUUGAUUAUUGAUGUUAUGAAAAAUAUACUGAAAUGGAAUAUCUUACUUGUCUUUAUUUACUCGAUUUUAGAUGGUUU